rnacentral:lncRNA from 1 species
UUACCAAUGAUCUAGGACAAACUUAACAAAAGCAAAAAAUCAUAUUUCCAAAUUUUUCUGAGACUAUUAUAAUCAAUGACCUGUAAGAAUGCAAAAAGAAUAACAUGGAAGACCUUCAAAGUAUUGUUUUCUGCCAUCAGAACUUCAAGAAAGAUCUUAUGGGACAUACACAUUGUGGCAGAGAAGAAUGGUACCAAUGAAGAACAGAUUGACAGUGAAACUUCAAGAUACACAUACUUGUGCUGCUUUUAAGAGAACAAUUGGCUUUGAUCUCUUCUGAGAUCUUCACAUUUUUCAUUUAUCUAUG